GGCGGUAGGCGUUAACACAUGCAAGUCGAGCGGUAACAGGAGUAGCUUGCUACUCGCUGACGAGCGGCGGACGGGUGGAGUAACGCGUAGGAAUCUGCCUAAUAGUUGGGGAUAGCCCGGGAAACCCGGAUUAAUACCGAAUACGCUCUACGGAGGAAAGCAGGGGAGUCUUCGGACCUUGCGCUAUUAGAUGAGCCUGCGUGAGAUUAGCUAGUUGGUGAGGUAAUGGCUCACCAAGGCGACGAUCUCUAGCUGGUCUGAGAGGAUGAUCAGCCACACUGGGACUGAGACACGGCCCAGACUCCUACGGGAGGCAGCAGUGGGGAAUAUUGCACAAUGGGCGCAAGCCUGAUGCAGCCAUACCGCGUGUGUGAAGAAGGCCUUAGGGUUGUAAAGCACUUUCAGUAGUGAGGAAGGGGUGUAGUUAAUACCUGCAUCCUGUGACGUUAGCUACAGAAGAAGCACCGGCUAAUUCCGUG
rnacentral:rRNA from 1 species